CCUACGAGUGGCAGCAGUGAGGAAUAUUGGUCAAUGGGCGCGAGCCUGAACCAGCCAAGUAGCGUUAAGGAUGACUGCCCUACGGGUUGUAAACUUCUUUUAUAAAGGAAUAAAGUGAGGCACGUUUGCCUUUUUGUAUGUACUUUAUGAAUAAGGAUCGGCUAACUCCGUGCACGCAGCCGCGGUACUACGGAGGAUCCUAGCGUUAUCCGGAUUUAUUGGGUUUAAAGGGAGCGUAGAUGGGUUGUUAAGUCAGUUGUGAAAGUUUGCGGCUCAACCGUAAAAUUGCAAUUGAUACUGGCAGUCUUGAGUACAGUUGAGGUAGGCGGAAUUCGUGGUGUAGCGGUGAAAUGCUUAGAUAUCACGAAGAACUCCGAUUGCGAAGGCAGCUUACUAAACUGCCACUGACAUUGAUGCUCGAAAGUGUGGGUAUCAAACAGGAUUAGAUACCCCAGUAGUC
rnacentral:rRNA from 1 species